CUCAUCUUCACAGACUGGAAACCACAGGGAGAGGUCACCAGGGACCCAGGCUCCAUGUGACGAGCACCAGGGUGAGAAAGGACAGGCUAAUGAUGGCCAAGUCGGCACUCAGCCUGGCCACAGGGAAAGAGCUGGAGAACAUGAAGGGAAGAGAGAAGAAAAGGCAGUGGAAAGAGUUUUUCCCACCAUGGCAAAAAUAAUUGGGACUACAUCUGAGUAAACAGAUAAGACCAUUAGACUGGGAAAUGUUCUUAACCAGAGAUUGGACAAGGUCUCUGCACCCCUGCUGAACAGGGGCCUGCACACCUCCGCCACAGAUGAGGGAUACAGGGUUCUCCUUCUUUGUCUCCUGUUUCUGCUUUCCUCUCGGCUGGCUUCCUUCUCAGAUGGGCUCACCAAACGCUCUCAGAAGUUCUGGCUUUGCAACCACAAUGGAGAAAGUGCCCCCUCAUUUCCAGUAGGUUUAGAAAAAUUGGGAGACUGAUGCUCAUCGAAUAGUUUAGGUCACAACCACCAAGGAGCUAAGCCACUGAGUGGAACACGCUGACCAAUCAGUCCGUCCUUAGAAGUCACUGUGAAGAGGCAUCAGCCCCACCCAAAUCAUGAGCACAAAGGGACAGAAAGCAAAGGGACACCACCCAAAGGCACACUGGGGUAUUGUUCCCAGAAGAUGGAUGUUGGGCAGGUAACAAGAAGGAAUGUCUGCUAUAACCCUGUCUCCCUUCAAAGAAACUCUUGUUUCAAGUUAGUCUGAGAAGAUUCUGUUUCUCGUCACCAAAUAGUCCUUAACUAAACAUCUAGAAAAAUGUGCAGGAAAUGAAGAUGAAUAAGACAGAUUUCAGCUGUCAAAGACCUUACCUUUUUAUAAGGAAGAUAAACCCAAUGUACAUAAAUUGUACAUCACAAGUAAAAGCUUGUUUCAAAGGUACAAAGAAUCCCAGAAUUUCAAAGGCAAUGACACUAAGGUAAGCAAGAAGUUUCUUUUCGAUUUUUGUUUGGCUUGGGAUGUAGGGAAAGAAUGGCUAGGGUUUCAAAUAGACAGGGAGAGUAUUUCCAGUUAAAGAAAAUGGUGUAGAGGUGCCUGGGUGGCUCAGUUGGUUAAGCAUCUGACUUCGGCUCAGGUCAUGAUCUCACCGUUUGUAAGUUUGAGCUCCGCGUCGGGCUCUGUGCUGACAGCUCAGAGCCUGGAGCCUGCUUUGGAUUCUGCGUUUCUCUCU